rfam:Choloepus hoffmanni cont1.165159, whole genome shotgun sequence.
UGUGGACCCGGGGGUCUGCAGACACUUAUCAAUGCAUAGGCAUUUUUUUCUGCAGUGCGAGAUAAACAAGGUCCAGCUUAGGCGAAAAGAGAAACGUCUUACAGGCAGCAUCUACACUCCAGACAACGGAGCGUGUUCUGAGUCCACGUUAAGUCACCAGGCCCCCGCUGG